rnacentral:rRNA from 1 species
AACGAACGCUGGCGGCAGGCCUAACACAUGCAAGUCGAACGGACCCUUCGGGGUUAGUGGCGCACGGGUGAGUAACACGUGGGAAUAUGCCCUUAGGUACGGGACAACAGCUGGAAACGGCUGCUAAUACCGUAUGAUAUCGAGAGAUCAAAGAUUUAUCGCCUAAGGAUUAGCCCGCGUUAGAUUAGGUAGUUGGUGGGGUAAGAGCCUACCAAGCCUACGAUCUAUAGCUGGUCUCAGAGGAUGAUCAGCCACACUGGAACUGAGACACGGUCCAGACUCCUACGGGAGGCAGCAGUGAGGAAUAUUGGACAAUGGGCGAAAGCCUGAUCCAGCCAUGCCGCGUGAAUGAUGAAGGCCUUAGGGUUGUAAAGUUCUUUUAGUAGUGAAGAUGAUGACGGUAACUACAGAAAAAGCCCCGGCUAACUCCGUGCCAGCAGCCGCAGUAACAC